UUCGGAUUGAAGGCUGAAAUUCGCCUUCAUGAAGCCGGAAUUGCUAGUAAUGGCAGGUCAGCAUACUGCCGUGAAUACGUUCCCGGGCCCUUGUACACACCGCCCGUCACACCAUGAGAGUUGGGAAUACCCGAAGCCUGUGAGCUAACUUUUAGAGGCAGCAGUCGAAGGUAGAAUCAAUGAUUGGGGUGAAGUCGUAACAAGGUAGC
rnacentral:rRNA from 1 species